GACAAGUUGGCCGAGUGGUUAUGGCGUGUGACUCAAGUGCAAACUUGCUUCAUUCUAGAAGUGCUUUCUCAUGGGCUUUGCCCGCGUGGGUUCGAAUCCCACACUUGUCA